AAGUCGUAACAAGGUUUCCGUAGGUGAACCUGCGGAAGGAUCAUUAACACGUAUCCAACGUUAAACAACCCUGUGAACUUUCAGCGCUCUUGUAACCCAGGCGGAACAGCAAUCCCGGUAGAUCAAUGGCGGAACAGUUUUGAUUCGGGACCUAAGCAGUGCAGAAGGAUCCACUGAGUACGGAUAACGCAUCACGGUUGCCAGAGGUCGAUCACCGGCCGGCAAACAUGUCACAGGGCUAUAUGCCCCUUCAUUCACACCUUGCCUAAUCAUGCCCCGCGGAAACGCCGGGCACAAAAACUGAACAACUGUUAACAAUGGAUAUCUUGGUUCUC
rnacentral:misc_RNA from 1 species